UUUGCCUAUCAUUCACAAAUCUUACUUCACCAUUAGACUGUCAUGAGAUGGUAUGAAGACAUCUGGAAGGAAAAAAAAAGAAGUGAGCGACAGUCACUUGAAGAUGAUGUCUGGGGUUCAUACCGUCUAUAUCUGUCACCACCAGCAUCUGCGGCUGCGACAGCCCCUCCUGGAGGUUGUAGAAGUGCACGGUGCUAUCAAACGUCUUCCCGACACUCACUUAUCCAGGUUCUCCAGGAGCGAGUCGCAGAAAUACUUCAGGUAGCCUGACUCCACGGCGUUGUGGGAGACGUCCAUCACGAACAGGUAGACGGCCGGCUGAGGGGGCCGCAACUGAACUUGCAAAGAUGCAUGUUAAUUAGUGGAACUGUGAUAUGUGGCCACCACUCUCCAAUGCAGAACAUCUAAUGCUAACACCACCGCUUCAACUAAAAUGAAUUAAUUUCCUGUGGGAAGUGUCCAAUAUAACAACUAUUUCAUCAUGAUUCCAGGCCUCGUAUUUUAACUUUUUAAGGUCAAGGCAAGUGUUGCCUUAAAGGAGGGCCCCUAUUUUAGGGCACCAAGGCAAAGUAGAAGGGCACCAAGACAAACAUUAUUUUCAUUCGAGGUAUAUAUAUUUUGAAAGA